rnacentral:rRNA from 1 species
UACGAAGGGGGCUAGCGUUGUUCGGAAUUACUGGGCGUAAAGCGCACGUAGGCGGAUUGGUCAGUUGGGGGUGAAAUCCCAGGGCUCAACCCUGGAACUGCCUUCAAUACUGCCAGUCUAGAGAUCGAGAGAGGUGAGUGGAAUUCCGAGUGUAGAGGUGAAAUUCGUAGAUAUUAGGAAGAACACCAGUGGCGAAGGCGGCUCACUGGUCCGGUUCUGACGCUGAGGUGCGAAAGCGUGGGGAGCAAACAGG